CUGCUUAUGCUGAAAAUGUUAGACCUUAUACUGUACCACAACCAACUCAGAAAUCCAGAUCAAAUGAUGUCAAAACAAGCACACAAGAUGGUCUUAUUCUUUAUUGUCUUGUCUAACUGCUGUAUCACAAUUACAACAACCACAAAAUGUGUUUAAAAGUUUUCGGGGCAAGAGCACAACUAAAGCAAACACUGACCACCGUAAUGGUAACCAAAAUGUAGAUUAUGCUCCUUCAGUGAUUCUGUUUGUUAAAGGAACACUCCACCGUUUUUUGAAAUAGGGCUUAUUCACAUUAUUUCCUACAUUUAGAUAGGUGGGCAAAUGCAUUUUUGUGUCAGUGCAUGCAUUGUUUUAGUUUGACUGGGUCGGCGUUAGCUUAGCUUAGCACAAUGAAUGGAAUCGUUUCCAUACUUCUUGUGGCCUGCGUAUUCACAACGAGUACAAAUAGCGAUCCAGAUUAACACUAGGCGAUUUCCUAGGCAGAUAUUGACUUGGGACUAUAUUAUGGGGAAGCACAGGCGAAGCACUGCUGCUUAGGCGAAGCACUGCUACUUCGGCGCAGAGAUAUCACGCAACACAUGAAAUCCCACGACUUCCGUCAACAUACCGGCGUGAAUAGUAGCUGCCUGGCUAUUUUCCUUACAGUACACGAAUGGCGAUGAACAUGGCUGAUUUUGAGAUAGACGAAGAGGGUGACUUCUCAGACAGUCAAGAACCAGAACCAUACCUAUUUGAACCAGAGUUUACAGAAGACGAGCUGCGUGCUUUGGAAAUAGAACGACAGGAGGAGGAGGUUGCGAUCGCUCAACAGCCUGAGGACGCUCAACACGUCAGAUCAAGAUGAGCGUGCCCGAAGUUGUGUCACAUCUACAGAGGAUUUCACGGCGCUGAUCCAUUCUGCAGUACUCGAUUUUUUUUUUCGGUGUGACAAAGUGAACUGGAAAAAAUGCCCCACGCCGAAUGGACCAAAUGGACAGCUGUCCACAGAGUAAGUGAUUAUUUUAAUCAUGACGCAUGUAUAGAUCGACCCAUAUUAUACCUGUAUUUACAGUAUUCAUGUUGACGGAAGUCGUGGGAUUUCAUGUGUUGCGUGAUAUCUCUGCGCCGAAGUAGCAGUGCUUCGCCUAAGCAGCAGUGCUUCGCCUGUGCUUCCCCGUAAUAUAGUCCAUAUAUAUAGUCCAUAUAUAUAAUAUCUGCCUAGGAAAUUGCCUAGUGUUAAUCUGGAUCGCUAUUUGUACUCGUUGUGAAUACGCAGGCCACAAGAAGUAAUUAGGUGGGUUUUUUUUAAUUUUUUGAUCACUUUUACUCAGGCCAUGCUAGCUGGCAACAAAGGAUUCCAUUCAUUGUGCUAAGCUAAGCUAACGCCGACCCAGUCAAACUAAAACAAUGCAUGCACUGACACAAAAAUGCAUUUGCCCACCUAUCUAAAUGUAGGAAAUAAUGUGAAUAAGCCCUAUUUCAAAAAACGGUGGAGUGUUCCUUUAAGAGACCCAUGGAACCCAUUCAAAUUCUUAGCCAACCCAGUGACCAC
rnacentral:lncRNA from 1 species